rnacentral:misc_RNA from 1 species
CGAAUCGCUGGCUGAUCUCGCUCGUACCAGCGGGCUACAUGCUUCUCGCGCGGACGAACGCGCUCGUGCUGCUUGUCCCUUCAUCUCAUUUCGCACCCUGACGGUAGGCGACCCGAUCACCGUGCAUCCACUUGUUGCCUGUAGCAGCAUACCGGAUUCUUCUGGAAGGACACGCCACUGAUUGCUGCUAUAGGCGACCCUCCUCCCGGUGCUCUCUAUGUCGGAGGGCGUGAGGCACUAAAAGGUUCGUUCCCGCACUGCCCCUCUAAUGGAGGACGCACCCGGAGAUUGUCCGCUUCAACAGGUCCCUUCUCAAGUAUUCUUCCGGGACUAAAUCAUGCUGCUUUGAAGAGGUGUAAGUCUUGGUCGUUUGAACUGAGCAUCCCCGUCAUUAUCUCCUGUUUCAAUUAAUGAGUAGUACUUAUAGAACUACCUAUCU